UACGAAGGGAGCUAGCGUUGUUCGGAAUUACUGGGCGUAAAGCGCACGUAGGCGGAUUUGUUAGUCAGGGGUGAAAUCCUGGAGCUCAACUCCAGAACUGCCUUUGAUACUGAGGAUCUUGAGUCCGGGAGAGGUGAGUGGAACUGCGAGUGUAGAGGUGAAAUUCGUAGAUAUUCGCAAGAACACCAGUGGCGAAGGCGGCUCACUGGCCCGGUACUGACGCUGAGGUGCGAAAGCGUGGGAGCAAACAGG
rnacentral:rRNA from 1 species